rnacentral:lncRNA from 1 species
AAAAAGAAGACUGGCAACAGAUGUUAGCUCAGGUGCCAAUCUUUAAAAAAUAAAAUGUAGAGAGGCAAAUACGGAGGCUGGGACCCCAGUUGAGGGGCUGCUGUAAGAGAGGACAGCGGCGUGGUGUGGUGGCGGGGCCACAUACUAGCAGAGAGGUGAUCGAGAACAGCACCAAGAACCUGGAGCCACUUCCUGUGUCCACCUGCAAUUUCUGCCCAGCUUGAGUGCCAGGAGCAGGCCUGGAACAGACACCCCAGUGGGUCAGCCCCACCUGCCUCUUAACGGCUCAUCAGUUAUUGGAUUUCCAUCAUCAGGACCUGUCCCUGAGCCCCCAAGACGGGUGUAAAACAAAACAAACAAGAUAAAAUGUGUACGCAGCCAACCAAAAAGAUGCCAGCAAUUCAAAGGAAGCAGGGCUCUCGCAUCCCCCAGGGAAGCUGGGCUGGAGGCCAAUAAGCCUGGUGCUUUGGACGUCCACUGACAAAGGGAGGAACAGCAUUCUGCAGGCCCCAGGAAAUGCCCCACUAGCUCUUGUUGGCAUCUUCAGGCGCUGCCUCAAAGGGGGACCCGAGCCUUGACCUGCCGCGGAGCGUCCUUUCUCCAGAUCGAUUGGCCCAAAAUCCCACAGACCCUGUUGCCGGGGGCUGCCCGUCCAUUCCGGUCCCCUCACUCCACCACUCGGACAAGCAGAGGGCCUGGCCCCUGCCUGCCCUCGGAGCCCAGUCUGGUCAUCUGGUGGGCAGGCAGCCACCAAUUCCGGUCUCAUCUGUGACACAGUGGGAGAGGGGAAAGGUCUUUGAGUUCUUCUACCUGUGCGGCUGACCUGGCCAAGCCACGGGGAAUUUCAAGCCCCCUCCCCCGUCCCAGGCUUCACACUCUCUCCCCUGCUUAAUGUUGGUCCACAGUAUGCGAAACAAUAUCGCUCAUUUCUCUUGUUGCCUCCAUCCUCCCCUAGAAUAUAAACCAUGAGGACAGGCUUUUUUGAGCAUUUACUGUGCAGCUGAACCUCCCUGCCAUUGGGCUCUCACUUAAUAUUUCCAGAAGGAAGGCAAGGAGGGUGGAAGGGGGGAGGGAGGAGGGAACAGAUGACGGAACCAACUAGACGGA